CCUACGGGAGGCAGCAGUGGGGAAUAUUGGGCAAUGGGCGAAAGCCUGACCCAGCAACGCCGCGUGAAGGAAGAAGGCUUUCGGGUUGUAAACUUCUUUUGACAGGGAAGAGCAGCAGAGUGUACCUGUCGACUAAGCCACGGCUCACUACGUGCCAUCAGCCGCGGUAAUACGUAGGUGGCAAGCGUUUUCCGGAUUUACUGGGUGUAAAGGGCGUGUAGCGGGGCUGACAAGGCAGAUGUGAAAUCCGGGGGCUCAACCCCCGAACUGCAGUUGAAACUGGUGGUCUUGAGUAGAGGAGAGGCAGGCGGAAUUCCUAGUGUAGCGGUGAAAUGCGUAGAUAUUAGGAGGAACACCAGUGGCGAAGGCGGCAUGCUGGACGACAACUGACGGUGAGGCGCGAAAGCGUGGGGAGCAAACAGGAUUAGAUACCCGAGUAGUC
rnacentral:rRNA from 1 species